rnacentral:tRNA from 1 species
GGCGAGUUGGCGGAGUGGCUACGCAGCGGAUUGCAAAUCCGUCCACACCGGUUCGAUUCCGGUACUCGCCUCCA